CCUACGGGAGGCAGCAGUGGGGAAUUUUGGACAAUGGGCGCAAGCCUGAUCCAGCAAUGCCGCGUGAGUGAAGAAGGCCUUCGGGUUGUAAAGCUCUUUUGUCAGGGAAGAAACGGUGGUUCCUAAUACGGACUACUAAUGACGGUACCUGAAGAAUAAGCAACCGGCUAACUACGUGCCAGCAGCCGCGGUAAUACGUAGGGUGCAAGCGUUAAUCGGAAUUACUGGGCUAAAGCGUGCGCAGGCGGUUAUAUAAGUCAGAUGUGAAAUCCCGGGCUCAACCUGGGAACUGCAUUUGAGACUGUAUGGCUAGAGUGUGUCAGAGGGGGGUAGAAUUCCACGUGUAGCAGUGAAAUGCGUAGAUAUGUGGAGGAAUACCGAUGGCGAAGGCAGCCCCCUGGGAUAACACUGACGCUCAUGCACGAAAGCGUGGGGAGCAAACAGGAUUAGAUACCCUGGUAGUCCACGCCCUAAAGAUGUCUACUAGUUGUCGGGACUUAAAUUGUCUUGGUAAACGCAGCUUAACGCGUGAAGUAGACCCGCCUUGGGGAGUAGGCGNAGAUUAAACNAAAGAGUAGCGNGNGAGAGAGACGACGAGACGACGAGGAGGAGGAG
rnacentral:rRNA from 1 species